UUUCUUCUCACAAUCCUGAUUGCAGUCUUCUAGCAUAUCCUAGUCUUUCAGUAGAGAACACAAUCUGAAAAGUAGGAAGAAGGUAAAGAGGCAGUUUUCCCAGACCCUAUGAUGGUUUCGUCUACUUGCAGAAUGUUCGCACCAAAUGCUGGACGUCAACCCACCCUGGUUACACUCCUAUUGGCUUUGGCUAUGGCAUCACUUCACAACUGCCAUGCAAGGUCCCUAGGAAACAAAGCCACAGGAGAAUGGAAGUCGUUGCGUCGUGCUCAUACCAUGCAAGACAGUCCGUGUGCAGCACACUCUCUGGGAGAGUUUCUGUCCAUGCUGGUGGGCUCCAUAUCUGAUCAACAGGCGUCCAAUCUGCACAUCCUGCAAACCUUUACUACAAUGCCGAUCAUUCCGCUCUUUUGCGCGUACGACCGGACGGCGUGUCGCAAUGCCAUGGUUUACCCGGACAGUGCCAACACUGCAGAGAGGAAGAUGCUGGAAAGUUUCAAUAAAUCUUCACCGUCAUCACAUCAUCAUCAGGCACGCUGGCGUUGUGACACGGACUACAACAGAUUUCCACCGGUGAUGUGCAAAGCUGUGUGCUCGAGUAGAAAUGGCAACGUAGUCGCACAGCCCUCAGAGUCAGGCGCUCCCCGCGUCACUGUCUACUUUUUGCAAUGCAAAUCAAAUGGCGCUGCUUACACUUGGAUGAAGGCCUAUGACCAGCGCUACUUCCACAGAGGGACCACAUGUCCGCCUGGUGGCUGUUCCCUGAGCAGCUAAUGAGUGUGCUUACAAUCAUGUCUGAGGGCCAUUUGCGCUCCACUGCCACUAUACUGUAUCAGCGCAUCUUCCUCCAUUGGUAAUCAGGUGCUACAAUGUAACUCCUCUGACAAUAACUAUACACUGGCAGCAUUCCAACUAACGUUUUAAAGUUUUAUUUAAAGACCUCCACGCAGGAGAAACCGAAGUUGAAAUUUAUGGGUAUUUCAUGCAAUGAACCAUAUACAUGUAAAUUGUUGUUAUUUUUAAGUAAUUUUAACCAUAUUCAAUGGAGUCCAGGUACCAGGAUCCUCUGUUUUAACUUCAAAGUUCAAGUAUUCUUCAAUCGUGUCGUAACUCAGGGACUCAUGGCUUGCACAACAUCAUCAGAAAAGCCAUUCACAGGAUUAAAGAAAUUUCAAAUGCA